CAGUCUGGCUCUUAGUGAUGAUGGGAUUUAUGCAGCAGUAGGGACUAUCUCUGGCAGUGUGGCUGUGUAUAUCUCAUUCAGUCUACAGAAACUAUAUUCUGUCAAAGAAGCCCACAGUAUAUUUGUGACUGGCUUGACAUUCAUGCCAAGUUCCGAGGGAGCACAAGCUAUAACGGGAACCCAGGAUUUUACACUUCUCAGUGUUUCAGCAGACAACACGAUUCGCAUACACCAAGUAGCUCCUAGAGGUUCUUACAGUGCAGCUCUGGUGGUUGUCCUGUUUAUCUGCUUCAUCUCCCUGAUCUUCUGGCUGAUAUCUGAACUUGGACUAUGAUUACAGCUAAGAGGGUCAUUGUCAAAUUGUCAUAAUACGUACUUAGGAUCAGAAACUGUUCGGCCUUUGUUAUGCAGUGAGGUCAGUGAAGCUGUGAUGUUAAUUGUUGGCUGUGUUUCAAUCUCACUGCCUGCACUGACAAAAUGGAAUCUCACUAGAAGAUAAAAAAGUCAUACAAAAUGUCUCUUACCGGGGUAUUCAUUCAUACAGCUCUUUAGAAAUAAUUUUGUACAUGUCUGAAGUUUUUUUUCCCUAUUUUGGUUCAAAAGAAUUAGUAAGUAAGACCCCUGCCACAGGGGCUCAGUGUUGACAAGAAUGUUCUGCAUAUUGUGAAAAUGCAUUUCGUCCUUAAAAAAUCUCUCAAGUUCUUUAUUAACAAUCAGCUUGGAGAGAAACCAAGUUUAUAGCAGUAAAAAAAAUGAACAGAUGCUUGAGUUCCCUAAGUCACUGGGCUUAUUGUAUUACAUGUAGCUUAUGUGCUGUUGCCAUAGGCAUUCAAUUUUAAUGUAAAAAUGUGCAGUUUCUAACUAAUGAAUAUAGUUGUAGCAGGUAGUUCUUGACUUUUAUAAAAUGAAAUUUAUUGUUUAUUUUCUGAAAACAGAAAAUAAAUUAUAGUUGUCAUUGCACAUUUUCUUUUUAAAAUUACAGUGUAUUUUUAUAUUUAUGAUGCCAUUUUUGAAACAUUUCACUCUGAUUACCCAAUAUUUAUACAUAUUUAUAUGAUUCUGUUGUAAAACUUAUGUCAUACAGGUAUGAUUGGUACUGCCAUUUUCUUUCAAAAUCAAAACAGUUUGAUUUAAAUUGAUUUACAUGUCAAGGAUCAGUAUUUAAUGUGGGAUGAUCCUCGACUGACUUGACCUUUGAUAAAUCAUUGGAUCAGGUACAUGUAAAGUUGUAUAUAUAUACAUUGUAAUUAUAUUAUUUUCUAUGGUGCUAAUGAAACAAUACCUUAAUUAGGGCCCCGCUCUUUGGAUGUCCUCUAAUUUGUUUGAACAUAUUUUAUUGACAAUAUUUCAAAGGGAUUGAAUGCAAGUUCCAAACACUUAGAUAGUCCUCCACUGAUCAUGCAGUCUGUCCAUCCUUCUAAUUUUUCAAGAGCAUUUUUCGUCUACCCUUGUCCAACUACAGGUAAAGAGUGUACAGUGACCUUAAACAAUUUUUUAGAUGAAAGGUCAAGGUUAAAAAAAUCUUUGUUUAAUGCUUGUUGAAAUCAUAUUUUAUCAACCCUUGGCACAGUUAUGGUAAUACUUCACCAAAAGAGUGCAUGUGGGAAGAGGGGGGAUAUAUUCUCUCCUCUUGGCCCAUUCAGACUUAAUACUUAAAUUCACCUAUUGAUUCCCUGUGGGUAGAUGUGCAGUGACUUUGAGUAGACUUUUGUGAAAGUAAAGGGCAGAAAACCUUAAUGUGUAAAAUCCUUAUCCAGAGUAUAUUUUCCCUCCCCUUGGCCUUACCUAGCUCAAUCUUCACCUGGGUGUGCAGUGACCUUGAACCAAUUCUCAUAGGUGGAAGGUCAAGGGCAGUAAACCUUUGUAUAAAUUCUUAUCAAGAGCAUACUUUCUCUCCCCUUGGUCCUACCCAACUCCAACCCUUUAGAGUGUCCUUGAGUUGAGGAUAUGCAUAGUCCUCAUGCCAGUUAUUUAGGUUUGUGAUUAGGGUCGUAGCAAAUCUAUAAAAUUCUUCUUGGUUCUUUUUUUUUUAUUAUAAGCCCUAUCUGGCUUGAUCUAAUCACCCAAAGAGUGCCCUUGUAUAAAUGUCUUUCUUCUUAGUGUCUUUAUAGAGGGAAUACAAGGGUAGAUUCAAUUCUUUGUAAAAGAAUGGAUAAUGGAAAAGAAAUAUUAUUUUCUCUUUGUGAAGUUUUUAUUACCGUAUAAGUAGAAUUUUUAGCGAGGAUUUAAUUUUGGCAUUAUUAGCGAGGGUGCUGACAUCGCUAAAAUUGAACAUCGCUAAAAAUUAAUUGCGUAUUAUUUGCAAUAGCUUCUUUAGUUAGCAUUUUGAAAUCGCUAAAUUUACUUCUCGCUAAAAAUAAAGUACCAGAUUUUAUGCAGAAAUCGCUAACUCUGCGUCUGGCUAAAAUUUCCACUUAUACAGUAUAAUGUUACAUGUAUCUUAAGCUGUCACUUCUCAGAUCAAUAAACACAUCUGUAUCUAGUUAUUUGAACUGCAGCCAAGGUCAAGUGUGAAUGUGUGGAUGAAGCAUUCAUUGGAUGCUGGCAUUUCUCUCUUGUUGUUCAAAUAUACAUUUAGUUGAAUUAUACAUAUUAAGAAUAACAAUGAAAAGAAUUAAGAAAUGAUUAUUUCCUUGUGUAAAUACUCAUCGUCUCAAGCCACGGUCCGGAGUCCGCAUAUAGCUCUCUCCUACCCGUGGCUGCUUGAUCACAAAAAGUGUCGUAAUUUUGAAUAUUUACCAAUCUCUAUUGUGACGUCAUAUUCAGUUAAUGACAAGUUUUGUUUCCAUUGCAAUUGAAAUCAACAACUUAUAUCAGCAGUAUUUCGUACAUUGUGAUUGGAUAUUGAAAGGUCGCAUGUAAGGUCAAUUUCCGACUAUGCUUUACUCGCAUUGGUCAAUACUUUAAUGAGCUAUGAGAUAUUCUCGUCUCAUGCAACCACGGCCAGAAUUGGAGAGGAUCAUACAUUAUGAACGUGGUUUGCGACGAUGGUAAAUACUAAGAAUUAAACUAUUACAUGUAAUUUUUUACAGUUAUGAAGUAAGAUUAUAUACUCAUUCUGUCAGAAUAUUUGAUUUCUUUUAUAUUUUUUCAAAUCAUAAUAUUAUCCUAUCCAUGCAUGCAUAUUCUUGGAAGAGGCUCUUGCUAAUGUCAGUUUUCUAGGGUUUUUGAUUUUACAAUUAAUGUUAUACUCUUAUGAUGGUAUAUAUUGUAUCUUGUUAUUUAUCUGUGGCAUUGGGAGACACUUGUGUUUUCUUGUAUCACAAAUAUUAUUUUGAUAGGUCGUGGAUUAAUUAUGCUUUAUUAGAAAUAUACAUUACAUUCCUACCAAUAAUGACUUAUAUUUCGUUGUAGUCAUGGCCAUUAUUCUCUAAUAAAUCACAUGUAAUGUAUGCAAAAUAAUUUAUU